CAGCCGCCGCGGGAAUACGAAGGGUGCAAGCGUUACUCGGAAUUACUGGGCGUAAAGCGUGCGUAGGUGGUGGUUUAAGUCCGUUGUGAAAGCCCUGGGCUCAACCUGGGAAUUGCAGUGGAUACUGGGUCACUAGAGUGUGGUAGAGGAUAGUGGAAUUUCCGGUGUAGCAGUGAAAUGCGUAGAGAUCGGAAGGAACAUCUGUGGCGAAGGCGACUAUCUGGGCCAACACUGACACUGAGGCACGAAAGCGUGGGGAGCAAACAGGAUUAGAUACCCGGGUAGUCCCUGUCUCUUAUAC
rnacentral:rRNA from 1 species